rnacentral:tRNA from 2 species
GCGCCUGUAGCUCAGUGGAUCAGAGCAUCGGCCUCCGGAGCCGGGUGUCGGAGGUUCGAAUCCUCCCAGGCGCGCCA